UACGGAGGGUGCGAGCGUUGUCCGGAAUCACUGGGCUUAAAGGGCGCGUAGGCGGGCUGACAAGUCUGGGGUGAAAUGCCGCGGCUCAACCGUGGAACUGCCUUAGAUACUGUCGGCCUCGAGGAAGGUAGGGGCAUGCGGAACUGUAGGUGGAGCGGUGAAAUGCGUUGAUAUCUACAGGAACUCCGGUGGCGAAAGCGGCG
rnacentral:rRNA from 1 species